rnacentral:misc_RNA from 1 species
AUUAAUUUAUGUAUCAUAAAAUUAAAUAAACACUAUAACACACUAUAAAGAUAUGCUCAAACGUACUAUAAUUUUAAAAACAAUUUUAAAAGAAGUAUAAAAAAGACAUAACUGAAGCAAUGUCGGCCUGACAAUAAUGGUUGAUGAUGCUUUUCUCUGUUUUUGGUGUAUUUUACCAACCUUUUGAUUUAGAUGAUUCCCCAAUAUCUUUGUUUGAAUCCUUCCG